rnacentral:rRNA from 1 species
GACGAACGCUGGCGGCGUGCUUAACACAUGCAAGUCGAACGGAAAGGCCCUGCUUUUGUGGGGUGCUCGAGUGGCGAAAGGGUGAGUAACACGUGAGUAACCUGCCCUUGACUUUGGGAUAACUUCAGGAAACUGGGGCUAAUACCGGAUAGGAGCUCCUGCUGCAUGGUGGGGGUUGGAAAGUUUCGGCGGUUGGGGAUGGACUCGCGGCUUAUCAGCUUGUUGGUGGGGUAGUGGCUUACCAAGGCUUUGACGGGUAGCCGGCCUGAGAGGGUGACCGGCCACAUUGGGACUGAGAUACGGCCCAGACUCCUACGGGAGGCAGCAGUGGGGAACAUUGCACAAUGGGCGGAAGCCUGAUGCAGCAACGCCGCGUGCGGGAUGACGGCCUUCGGGUUGUAAACCGCUUUCGCCUGUGACGAAGCGUGAGUGACGGUAAUGGGUAAAGAAGCACCGGCUAACUACGUG